AUUUAUGGCCAUGCUACCCUGAACAAACCCAAUUCCAUAUGAUCUCGGAAGCUAAGUAGGGUUGGGCCUGGUUAGUACUUGGAUGGGAGACCACCUAGGAAGACCAGGUGCUGGAGGCG
rnacentral:rRNA from 1 species